AGACCGAAGAGGAUUCAUCGCUGGUUGCAAAACUAGAGGAAAGUCCGGGCUGCGCAGAGCGCCGCACCCUGUGAAAAGCGGGGGACGUUAAACGCAAGUUUAAUGGACAGACAGUGCUGCAGAAAUUAAACCGCCACUAGCAAUAGUGGUAAGGGUGAAAAGGAGGUGUAAGAGACCACCGUCGUUCUUGGUAACAAGGCGAGCUAGGAAAACCUUGCGGGCUGUAAGAUCAAAUAAACCGAGGCCGUUGGAUUCGUUCCAACUGAAGAGUUGCUCGCUCAAUCUCGGAGGGUAGAUCGCAUAGAUAAAUGAUGAAACAUGUGGCAACACAUGAACAGAACCCGGCUUACGCUCACGGUCUUUUA
rnacentral:RNase_P_RNA from 1 species